GAGUUUGAUCCUGGCUCAGAUUGAACGCUGGCGGCAUGCCUUACACAUGCAAGUCGAACGGCAGCACGGGAGCUUGCUCCUGGUGGCGAGUGGCGAACGGGUGAGUAAUGCAUCGGAACGUAUCCUGGAGUGGGGGAUAACGUAGCGAAAGUUACGCUAAUACCGCAUAUUCUGUGAGCAGGAAAGCGGGGGACCUUCGGGCCUCGCGCUCUUGGAGCGGCCGAUGUCGGAUUAGCUAGUUGGUGAGGUAAAGGCUCACCAAGGCGACGAUCCGUAGCAGGUCUGAGAGGAUGAUCUGCCACACUGGAACUGAGACACGGUCCAGACUCCUACGGGAGGCAGCAGUGGGGAAUCUUGGACAAGUGGGGGCAACCCUGAUCCAGCCAUGCCGCGUG
rnacentral:rRNA from 1 species